AGUCACUGACAUUAGAUACCCGUGUAGUCCAGGGUGUAAACGCUGCAGACUUGGUGUUGGAGGCCCUUUGGGGGCAUUCAGUGCCGGAGAGAAGUUGUUAAGUCUGCUACUUGGGGAGUACGUCCGCAAGGAUGAAACUUAAAGGAAUUGGCGGAGGAGCACCGCAACGGGAGGAGCGUGCGGUUUAAUUGGAUUCAACACCGUAAAACUCACCAGGGAAGACUGUUACAUGAAAGCCGAGAUGAAGACUCUGCUAGAUUUUCAG
rnacentral:rRNA from 1 species